rnacentral:rRNA from 1 species
GAUUGAACGCUGGCGGCAGGCCUAACACAUGCAAGUCGAGCGGUAGCACAGAGAGCUUGCUCUCGGGUGACGAGCGGCGGACGGGUGAGUAAUGUCUGGGAAACUGCCUGAUGGAGGGGGAUAACUACUGGAAACGGUAGCUAAUACCGCAUAACGUCGCAAGACCAAAGUGGGGGACCUUCGGGCCUCAUGCCAUCAGAUGUGCCCAGAUGGGAUUAGCUAGUAGGUGGGGUAAUGGCUCACCUAGGCGACGAUCCCUAGCUGGUCUGAGAGGAUGACCAGCCACACUGGAACUGAGACACGGUCCAGACUCCUACGGGAGGCAGCAGUGGGGAAUAUUGCACAAUGGGCGCAAGCCUGAUGCAGCCAUGCCGCGUGUGUGAAGAAGGCCUUCGGGUUGUAAAGCACUUUCAGCGGGGAGGAAGGCGAUAAGGUUAAUAACCUUGUCGAUUGACGUUACCCGCAGAAGAAGCACCGGCUAACUCCGUGCCAGCAGCCGCGGUAAUACGGAGGGUGCAAGCGUUAAUCGGAAUUACUGGGCGUAAAGCGCACGCAGGCGGUCUGUCAAGUCGGAUGUGAAAUCCCCGGGCUUAACCUGGGAACUGCAUUCGAAACUGGCAGGCUAGAGUCUUGUAGAGGGGGGUAGAAUUCCAGGUGUAGCGGUGAAAUGCGUAGAGAUCUGGAGGAAUACCGGUGGCGAAGGCGGCCCCCUGGACAAAGACUGACGCUCAGGUGCGAAAGCGUGGGGAGCAAACAGGAUUAGAUACCCUGGUAGUCCACGCCGUAAACGAUGUCGAUUUGGAGGUUGUGCCCUUGAGGCGUGGCUUCCGGAGCUAACGCGUUAAAUCGACCGCCUGGGGAGUACGGCCGCAAGGUUAAAACUCAAAUGAAUUGACGGGGGCCCGCACAAGCGGUGGAGCAUGUGGUUUAAUUCGAUGCAACGCGAAGAACCUUACCUGGUCUUGACAUCCACAGAACUUUCCAGAGAUGGAUUGGUGCCUUCGGGAACUGUGAGACAGGUGCUGCAUGGCUGUCGUCAGCUCGUGUUGUGAAAUGUUGGGUUAAGUCCCGCAACGAGCGCAACCCUUAUCCUUUGUUGCCAGCGGUCCGGCCGGGAACUCAAAGGAGACUGCCAGUGAUAAACUGGAGGAAGGUGGGGAUGACGUCAAGUCAUCAUGGCCCUUACGACCAGGGCUACACACGUGCUACAAUGGCAUAUACAAAGAGAAGCGACCUCGCGAGAGCAAGCGGACCUCAUAAAGUAUGUCGUAGUCCGGAUUGGAGUCUGCAACUCGACUCCAUGAAGUCGGAAUCGCUAGUAAUCGUAGAUCAGAAUGCUACGGUGAAUACGUUCCCGGGCCUUGUACACACCGCCCGUCACACCAUGGGAGUGGGUUGCAAAAGAAGUAGGUAGCUUAACCUNGCGGGAGGGCGCUUACCACUUUGUGAUCCAUGACUGGGGUGAAGUCGUAACAAGG